GGGGGGCUGUAGGUGGGGCUAAAGGGAGGCCGUGCCCAGAGGAGGAGUCAAAGGUAGGAGGAGGCGCGGGCGAGGCUGGAGGAGGCGGGGCCAAAAGGGAAGAGAGAUUGAAGCGAGGCCGGUGGAGGAGGGCCCGGAAGCCGACCAGAGGAGGGAGCCCAAAGGUGGCCACUCUGGGGAGGAGCCGGAAGGAGGCGUGACACAAAGGAAGCUCGCGGGGGUGGUGCUGAAGGUGGGAGGGACCUAGGAGAUGGGACCCAAACAAAUCCGCGGGGGGUGGUGCCCGAGGGAUGCGGAAGAGACCAAGUAGGAAGGAGCCCCAAGUAUUUUCACUUUCAAGGAACCAAGUGCGUAGUCCAGGCGAGGUUUGCUCCUCACUGCCUGGGCUAGGACUGGGCAGACAGGCCGCCAUGAGGGAGUUGCUACAGCUGGAAGACUGUGAUUCUGGAGUUGCCAGAGGCCACAUGCCCCUCCCUGUGGAGAAAGUCCAUCUGUGAUGGGCGAGAAUGGCUCCAACAAGAGAAGAGCAGCAGAAAAAAAUAAUUGAUGAAAAUAAAAAGUAAACAAAAAAGAAAAAAACAGCAUAGAGAAGAGCCUGAUGCAUUUAGAUAUCUGAAUCCAGUCAUCAAUGGGUUCAGCUCUACCCUGUGCUGUUGAUGGUUAAGUUAUGUGAGCCAAUAAAUCCCUUUUUUUUUUUUAUAACUAGUGAGAAUUGGGUUUCUAUCACUUCCAACAACAGAAUUUUUUACUAAUACAGGUAUCCCCAACAAUGGAAAAGAUGAAGAGUCUUCAAGUGGUCUCCCAGGCAACAGAUGUUCACAGACAGGGACAAGGACAAGAGAAGAAGGGCCACAUAAGGAUGAUUGCCAAUAGCUGAUCCUCUGGGGACUCCUAGGGGACACAUAUCCCCUGCUUAAUUAUUCUUUUCACACACACACACACACACCACCACACAUACACACACACUCUAAGGAUAAAGCGGAGAGCAGCUUUGAGGAAAAGGUAUUGCCAUAACACAACGCUGAGUCAGGUAUUUAUUAUUUAACCCCCUUGUAAAGCCCAGGCCCUAGGUAUGUUCUGUCACACUAUAUAAGGCGGCAAAAAAA